GUCUGGGUGGCUCAGUUGGUUGAGCGUCCGACUUCGGCUCAGGUCACGAUCUCACGGUUCGUGGGUUCAAGCCCCGCGUCGGGCU
rnacentral:tRNA from 1 species